GGACCAGACUCCUACGGGAGGCAGCAGUGGGGAAUAUUGCACAAUGGGGGAAACCCUGAUGCAGCGACGCCGCGUGAGUGAAGAAGUAAUUCGUUAUGUAAAGCUCUAUCAGCAGGGAAGAAAAUGACGGUACCUGAAGAAGAAGCCCCGGCUAACUACGUGCCAGCAGCCGCGGUAAUACGUAGGGGGCAAGCGUUAUCCGGAUUUACUGGGUGUAAAGGGGGCGCAGACGGCGAUGCAAGCCAGGAGUGAAAGCCCGGGGCCCAACCCCGGGACUGCUCUUGGAACUGCGUGGCUGGAGUGCAGGAGUGGCAGGCGGAAUUCCUGGUGUAGCGGUGAAAUGCGUAGAUAUCAGGAGGAACACCGGUGGCGAAGGCGGCCUGCUGGACUGCAACUGACGUUGAGGCCCGAAAGCGUGGGGAGCAAACAGGAUUAGAUACCCUCGUACC
rnacentral:rRNA from 1 species